AUGGAACUACUAGUCAAAACAAGCUCACUUUUAUGGAAAAUUGACCCCAACACCUGGGAAACUAUACCAAAGUUCUGAAACGCAUGAAAUGAUCCAAUAGAGAUUGGGUCUUCAAAGUAAAUUUGUUGGGGCGGAAGUUGACCAAGAGAUAUAGAAAGAACAUCGACGCCAUCGUGAUUAGCGUCGCUAAAUGCCGUUAGAAGGUCGGCAUCUUCACAACCUCCAAACCAGCACACUUUGUAUAUUGCGAUCAUAAUGGAUUGAUGCAUAUUUUGGUGGUAAAUGAGAGUUAUCUUGCAAGCUCAGGUUUAAAGAACAAUUUAUUCUUGAAAGAAAUCCCACCCUUAUACCAACACACUUUUAGUUUGGAUGUUUGGAUUUGGAUAAUUUAAUUUGAGUUAUAUGAUGUUUUGAUUUGGAUGUUCAUAUGAGGACCA
rnacentral:lncRNA from 1 species